CUGGGGGCGGAGCGGGGCGGGACUCCGCGGCGUCUCUGUGUCUCUUGCGCGCGGUCGCUGCCUCCUUCUCCAGCGCCGCUGCCAGCCGGGCUCCGGCGCCCUGGACCCAGGACCUGGAAAGCUACAGAGGGAGGCUCCUUUUUGGUGGACCAUUGGAAGUUUAUUGGCCUGAGAGAGCCAUCUGUUAUCAUUCCAAGUUUGGGUGAGCCUGGAAAUGAAGAAAGAAGUAUGGAUUUGCAUGUUGAUGUUACAGUCAAUGUUUAACCAUUUAAAAAUAAAUUAAAUAAAAAAACUUUUUGAAACUGUUAG
rnacentral:lncRNA from 1 species